AUUACCAGAUCGACGCUCUACCUCCUGAGCUACACGGUCAGACGGAUUUAAGACUGGAAAUUAUGAAAUAUAUAAUUUCCAGUCUUAAAUCCGUCUGACCGUGUAGCUCAGUAGGUAGAGCGUCGAUCUGGUAAU